rnacentral:rRNA from 1 species
UACGUAGGGUGCGAGCGUUAAUCGGAAUUACUGGGCGUAAAGCGUGCGUAGGCGGUUGCUGAAGUCCGUUGUGAAAGCCCCGGGCUCAACCUGGGAAUGGCAGUGGAAACUAGGCGACUUGAAUCUGGCAGAGGGGGGUGGAAUGCCACGUGUAGCAGUGAAAUGCGUAGAGAUGUGGCGGAACACCGAUGGCGAAGGCAGCCCCCUGGGUUGAGAUUGACGCUGAGGGCACGAAAGCGUGGGGAGCAAACAGG